rnacentral:rRNA from 1 species
AGUGAACGCUGGCGGUAGGCCUAACACAUGCAAGUCGAACGGCAGCACAGUAAGAGCUUGCUCUUACGGGUGGCGAGUGGCGGACGGGUGAGGAAUACAUCGGAAUCUACUUUUUCGUGGGGGAUAACGUAGGGAAACUUACGCUAAUACCGCAUACGACCUACGGGUGAAAGCAGGGGAUCUUCGGACCUUGCGCGAUUGAAUGAGCCGAUGUCGGAUUAGCUAGUUGGCGGGGUGAAGGCCCACCAAGGCGACGAUCCGUAGCUGGUCUGAGAGGAUGAUAAGCCACACUGGAACUGAGACACGGUCCAGACUCCUACGGGAGGCAGCAGUGGGGAAUAUUGGACAAUGGGCGCAAGCCUGAUCCAGCCAUACCGCGUGGGUGAAGAAGGCCUUCGGGUUGUAAAGCCCUUUUGUUGGGAAAGAAAAGCAGCAGGUUAAUACCCCGCUGUUCUGACGGUACCCAAAGAAUAAGCACCGGCUAACUUCGUG